rnacentral:lncRNA from 1 species
GGUAACCCCCUUGGAUCCCCUUCCACACUGUGGGAGGUUUGUUCUUUUGCUCUUUGCAAUAAAGCUUGCUGCUGCUCACUCUUUGGGUCCAGACUGUCUUUAUGAGCUAUAACACUCACCGGGAAGGUCUGCAGCUUCACUCCUGAAGCCAAGGAGACCACGAACCCACCGGGAGGAAGGAACAACUACAGACACGCCGGCUUAAGAGCUGUAGCACUCACUGCGAAGGUCCGCAGCUUCACUCUUGAGCCAGAGACCACGAACCCACCAGAAGGAAGAAACUCCAAACACAUCCGAACAUCAGAAGGAAAAAACUCCAGACACGCCGCCUUUAAGAACUGCAACACUGCGAGGGUCCGCGGCUUCAUUCUUGAAGUCAGUGAGACCAAGAACCCACCAAUUCCAGACACACUACCAAAGGCAGAGGGGAGCUCCUAGACAAAGAUAUUUUGCUUACAAAUGGAACAUAUCAAAUCAAGCUUUUGUGAACUUGAGGGAAGAAACAAAGAAUAUGAAGCCUAAAUGGAAGUGUCAGGAAAUGGUCGCCUUGCGGACAAGGAAACAGCAGCCUGGAAGGCCAGGAGAGGGCAGACUACCCACCUAACCCUCUGCAGAAUUUUGUGUGGACCCUGGAGACCAGAAACUAACUUCUCCUGCAGAGACAAGGUCUUGCUCUGUCACCCUGGCUGGUCUUGAACUCCUGGCUUCAAGCAAUUCAUCCAUCUCAGCCUCCUGAGUAGCUGGGAUUACAGAAAAAACAGUGAAGCAUAGACAGUUUUUGCAAGAGGCCCAAGAUCAUACAUCAAAUAUGUGCACAGCCAGGACCUGAACCAGUUGAUAUCUACAAAUGCCUGGCUUUUGCCACUGGGCUCCUUCAGGAUGGGAGGACAGGCAUGAUGGUGUGUGCCUGUAUUCCCACCAACUCAAAAGGCUGACAUGGGAGGAUCACUAGAGCCCAGGAGUUUGAGGCCCACAUGGGCAACUUAGCAAAAACCUGUCUCUAAAAAUCAAAACAGAGAAACAGGAUGAAGAAUGUUCAUACGGAUUCUGUUAUCUACUAUUUAACCAGGCUGGAGUGUAGUGGUACGAUCUUGGCUUACUGCAACCUCCACCUCCUGGGUUCAAGCGGCCCUGUCAUCUCAGCCUCCUGAGUAGCUGGGGUUACAGAGCUCCUUUCUGACAACUUGCAAUUGAUCCAACAUUUGAAACCUUAUGCAGGAGCCGGACAGCUUGGUUUUGAAUUAUAAUCUUACAAAUUACUGGCUGUGUGUUAAAUCUUUAAAUUACUGGCUGUGUGACUUUGUAUGAAGAAGAAAAUGCUUUGUCAAGAAAUUCUUUUUUGGACUGAAUUCAUUGUUGCAAAAGAUAGUUAUUUUGGAAAGAAAUUGCUUUAACAGUUUCUCCUGCUACACUAUGACUUGUAUGAAUACAUCCAUAGGCAUAGCGAUAGAAUAAUGAACAGAAAAAUUAAGAAGAACCUGAAAUUAAUAAAUACCUAGGUAUUUGUCAGGUGAGUUAUGGAUGUUGGCAGUUGAUGGAUUAUGUUACAAAGCACAUAAAUGCUGUAUUUGCGUUAGUGUACCAUUUAGCAGCCAUACUCCAGCAGAGUCCACAAGUAUAUGAGCAUGAAGUCCCUGAAGACAUUGGUAAUUGAUUACAAUCAAUCUGUAAAUGAUAUUUAGAUGAUCUUUAUGAGUUGCUUUCCUCUUCUCAUCUUUCUUGGUGUAUCGGUGAAGACUCUAAAUGAUUGAAUUGAAUGACUUUAAUUACAUUACUCAACGACUUUAAAACAAAUUUAGUUUUCAGUAAAAAUAAAUGUGUAUUUGUCUUGAUUCUGAACCCCUUACCUCUAAAGAAAUAUGCCUCAAAACACCAUAUUCUAAUAGCAUUUAUUGGCCUUUAAUGUCUAACACAAUACAUUGCUGUGUUAAAUUGUUUACAGUUUUCAAAAAGCAUAUUCUUUCUCUCUCUCCAAACACACACACACACAUACACACAUCUACACACAUGCACACACACUUUAUUCCCUGACUACACUUUUCUCAUGAGCCACAAUUUUAAUGAAAAGUAGUUUUCUUCAAGCUGGAAAAUUGCUUAGAAAAUGCUAGUUGUCCGGUGAAUAUUUAGAGCGCACAUCGUUCAUUUUACCUAACUCUAUGUUAAGAACAUUAUAUUGGGAUACUUUUAUCCCUGUCCUUUAAAAUGUCAUUUCACCUCAUUGAGGAACAGAAAAACCCAUAUAACUUUCAAUUUCUCCUACAACUAUAGAAAAAUAACUUGUUUGCAUUAAUAUUAAUUUUAAUUAAUUAACUUGUUUGGAUUAAUAUUAACUUUUAGCAAAUAUCUAAUAGCUGCCAAUUUUUUAAUUGUUAGAGUAUACAAACAAAAUACAAUGAAAUAAUUAACCAUUAUUCUACUUAAGGUUUUGUAAUUAACUAUAAAUGGAUCAAUCUGGGCUUGAUUGUUAGGAGUAAAUUCACUCAUCUGCAAAAUGUACAUCCAUUAAUAAUCGCAAAAGAAAUCUGAGUAAAGUCUAGAUUCCUUCUAUUGGAAAUAAUUCUCCAGGAAGAAAAUAUGAUCAAAUGCUAGGGUGCUAGGGUUGGUAUUUUGUCUGUGGAGACUGAGAUAGAAGUGUAUAAAUGAACCUUUAAACACGGCCAGGGACUGGCCAUUACACCAUUACUCUAUUUCUUCUAUUGGUUCAGCAUCUCAAAUUUUACUAUAGAACUAGGCUAAUAAGGUUCUAAUGUCCAAAACCACACAGAUUUAGAACCAAAACAAAACUUUUGUUCUUUUUUCAAUAAAGUACCUCAGGAAUUUGCUAAAAUGCAUAUUAUCAGGAUUCAUAGACAGAUAAUUGCAUUUGUGUGAUCUCAGCUGGGACUCAGAAAACAUAUUUUUAAAUUAUCCUAUCAGAAGAUUCUGAAGCAGAUGGUCCAUGGAGAGUUUUUGAUGAUAUAUUUCUCUAGAAUAAUAAUGUGUUUCUCGAGACACCUAUUACACUAGCAAUUUAUAACUUUAAUCGUAAAGACAGUGUCAUAUAACACUUUCUCAAUAAAUAUUUUUGAGUGAAUAAAUCUACAUAAAAUUAUUUAAAAUAUAUUGUUUAUUUCCAAAUUAGGAGGUGUAAACACUAAUAGUUUUAUAAAAACCUUUCGAUCGGUCUCAAAAUUGCAAAUAAUGUACUCUUAAAAAUAAAAAUUUUGUGAUUUUUUUUAUAACAUUAAACUUAGGUUUGCUUAUAACUUCACAGAGCUUGAUAAUACAUACAAAGACUUCAAAUGAUUGAGGGGUGGUGGUAGUUAAGAAAGAUUGUGCUGUACCAAUCUCAAGAAUAGAGGCAAGACCAAUAAUAAAGCUGUGCAAAAUUAGUAGGCCAGUAUUUACAUAAAUUGAGGAUAUUUAUGUCAAUAACUUUGCAGUCAGAGAUUUUCAAAGGCCAAAUAGACAUUUGAAUGUGUAAUGAGACAAUCUAGACUACAAAUUGUAAUAUUUGUUAUCCUCCAAAUAUGUAAUUCAUCACCUUCAUUUUUCCCCACCAUCUGCCUGGAAGCUUUUAGCAAUAUGUCCAUAACUAGGAAUAAUAAUUUUUAUCUUUGAGAGAUUUAAUUUUUGUAGCAAGAAACAUAAAUAUGAGUGUUGGGGAAAAACUUGCUCUGCUCUUCAGGUUCAUGGAUCUAAUGCUUUUCUUACUCCAGUGGCUGGAUAUAAUUGGAUUUCUUCAGCCACAUGUAUGCAACCAAAACUUGAGAAGGACCCUGUUUGAAUUGUCAAAUAUGAAGGCCCACUAAAUGAACAAGUUACUGUGGCCUUCAAGCAAAGCUAAACAUACCAUCUUCAACCCAAAGGACUUUCAGCAUAUGGUAAAAAACAAAACAAAACAGAACAAAAAAACCUGACCUUUCGACUUCAUUACAGUAAUUUCGUGGAUCAUACUAACUUGUUAGAAAAGAGAAUUAUGGAGCCAGAUUAACACAUUUGGUAUUUACUUAUUCAAAAAUAAGCCAACUUCAUAUUUUUGGCUUGUUCUUGUCUAGGAGAUGGGAUAGGUAACAAUGUCAGGUUGGUAAGCUAAAACACUAAAAACAAAUCUGUUCAAAUAUUUUAGAUUACUAAUGAAAUAUGAGAUACUUUACCUGAAUAAAAUUUAUAUUUCUAUCAUAGCAUCAACAAUCAUGCUAUGAACUACUUGACUUAUUUUACAUAUGUUCUAAGAUUGCUGUAUAGUACUUGCGCUUAUUUUUGUAGCCUACUACAAUCUGCUCUAUUUUCAGUGCUGAGAACAUACGUAUUAUUAACUACCACAAAUUUAAAAAACAUAUCAGCAUGGCUGUGUCAUUCUUUUCUUUGUUGCCAGUCCUUUGAUAGACAAAUAAUUGCAAAUAUGUACACAAAAACUUAUUGAAACUAAUCAUGUAAAAUGACUACACAAAUAUUUAAAACUUAUCAAAAAUUACUCUGAACAGCAAUACAUAUUCUAAUUCUCUACCAUCUGUUAGUAUGUUAUGUCCUAGAUCUACUUAUUUAUCUUUCUUUUCCAAGUAAACUAUAAAAAUGUUUAGGACAAUGACUGCUUUUUAUUUAUUCCAUUAGGGAACCAUAACUUACUACAACAUAGGGCACGCUUUCUAUCUUUUAAAAGAUGAAUUCAUUUUCUUAUUCUCUUUUUAAAUCAUAUGUUUUAUAUUUCAGUUAUGUUUGCUUGUUGAUUCUAGUUAUGAGAUUUAAAAAUGCUUUUCAUCUCAAUUAUGAAACAUGCUUAGGCAAACAUGAACUAUUAUAUUUGUGGAAAUGAAAUGUUCACAAUAAAUCUAAAUCCCUAUUUGAAGUAAUCCUUAAUUGCAGAAAUUGAGCACUGUACAUAACUAAAAACAAUAAAAAAAAUCUGAAUGAGAAAUAGCCUAAAUAUUGUGCACCUGCUUCCAAACUAUGCUACAUUUAUAAAGUAGAAAUAUUUCCCACCAUCCUGUUCUCAAAAGGAAAGCUUUACAUUGCUGUAUUUUAUGUUUUUAGCUGUAAUUCCAGCAGAAACUGUGGCCUCUUCUGAGUGUGGCCUUUGAAUUCACCAAGGCUCGGCUAGAUUCACUCUCAGUAACCUAGGAGAAACUGGAACUUUAAAUAACUAAAAGAAACAAAAUCUUCAUUUCAACUCACCUGUGUGCAUGGAAGCCAUUUUUCUCCCGUUAAGCUGACAUUUCUGUGAGUUGACAGGUCUAUCACUCAGAGCCUCAGACACUUCAAAGACUUCUUAGAACUUCAGGAAUGUCUGAAAAUUUUUAAUGUGAAAGUCAGAAUGUCUGGUUUUAUUAAGAAUUGGUCGUAUCAUUUAUGUAAUCAUCCUGGGACUGUUCUACUGCUGAAAACAACAAAAUGUUCAAAUUAUAUAAAGUGGGGCUGAAACAUGGAAUAUAUAUGAUUUACCAUUCUUUUAAAAAAAAUAAAUGCCAAAAUAAAUUUUGACAAAUUGGAAAACAAAAAAUUUAAAAAAAUUAAAGUCAUUUAAAAUUAUUUAUUUCACCUUAUUUUUGCAUAAAUAUAAGCUUGCAUAUAAUUUGUUUAUAUAAGCAUUAUAGGAUCAUGGCAAGGAAAGAGCCUAUGUAGGAAAUUAUCCUUGGUGGCUGCUCAGAUAAACAUCUGAUUAUUCUUUAAGACUAUGGAUGUCUGGUUCUCACCAUCACCAAUUCUUAUUUGAUUGGUAUUCAUGGAUAUAAAGUACUUCCAAGGUAAUUCUAAUUUAUAGUCACUGCUGUGAACCAUGCUCUAGAAUGAACACCAAAUAAAGCAAAGCAAAUUAUUCUAGCGCUCAUUCCUUGCAAACUGUCAUUUAUUUAUUUAAUAAAAUUAUUGUGCUUUGUUUUUUGACUGAAAAAUUUCCAUAAAACAUAUAUUAGUUGCUUCUUUUAAUUUCUGUUUUGAUACUGUUUUAUUGAUUAUAAAAUUAUUUCACUUUACCUGGUGAAAAAUAAAUAUUGAUGAACUCCUAAUAUAUUUGGAUUAAAUAUGGAGCAAAUAUUUCAUGUAAUUUUAUAGUUAAUUUUUUAAGUUUAAAAACUAUGCUAUAUUAACAUUUCCUUUAUCAAAUAUAAAAAUAACAAGCUAAGAAGUGAAAUUUGCAAAUGUAACUAAUAAACAAUAGUCAAUGAAAACUUUAUUAACUUUUAUGCACAAUGUUAAUAAGAAAUGCCAUUUUCCUCUUGCAAUGAAUAGUUUAACUGUUUAUAUAGCUAGAAGUAUUUGAUUUACCUCAAAACUCCUAUUCCACUUUAUACUUGAGUGCUAUCAAAAGACAGUGUAGUUUUAGAGAACUGGAGUUGAAGCAAAGAGGCAAAAUUGUCCCUUUAUAACACAUCUUUUUUUUCUCCAAUUACAUUUUCAUUUCAUUUACAUUUUCCUUCCUAAUACUCUCAGUAUUCUUAUAUGAAGACUGAAUGCCUGUUACUUGAAUAUAUUUAGCUCAGUAUCUUAUCAUGGCGCAUUUUACAUUGAAAUAUUUUGAUAAUUAAAGUUUCAAUGGGUGAUUUUUUUAAUUUAUGAACUACAUUAUUAUUUUAUGUACAUUUAAAUUUACAUCCUGAAUUAGUAGCUUGUAUUAUUGUCAUUAAGAAAAAAUAGAAAAAAAAUACUAGCAAUUAUAAACAGUAUGAGUUGAUAUAAGCAUUUUUGUUAGCCCUGAAGUCAUUUUAAUAGUUUUAUUGUCUUAAUCAACUUACUCAACUCUCUUUAUUGCUCUUUGGAGGUGGUAGUUUUGAACACAUGCUGGGCGUUAGUUCACUGGUGCCAAAUUAAAAAUGAUAAUUCUCAUGCGUGAAAUAACUGUAUGGACUAAUGACCAAAUAUCUUUAUAAUGUGAGCCACUGUUGCAGCAGGUGGCCAAACAAUUAGACACCAUAACAUAAUAUAUCCCUAAAGUAAAAAAAGGAAUGACACUCAUGAUACAACCAAAGCAAAAGCAUUAGAAAGAGAAUAAAAAUAUCUAUUUCCAUAAUUAAUACAUGCUGAAGACUUAAUAUUUGAUUAUAAAUAGUAAAAACAUUAUGCCUUAUCCUGUUUAAUUUCACAGGUAUUCAUUAAAUAAAUAUUUUUGUGUGUGCAUGGGAAAGAUGAACAUGUGAUUAAAAGACUAAUAUUAUUAAAGCACUUGACCCUGUAGAACUGACAGUUACUUUUCAGGAGAUUUAUCUCUAGUAAGUGAACCCUUGAGGGAAAAAAAGCCUAAAAAUUAAGAAUAAUUACAGGAAAUAAAUUUCUGAAAACAGGGACUUCAGAGGUAGGCAAAGUUAGGUCAUGAAAUAUCUUAUAUACAAAGUCCGACUUUAAAAUGUAUCUUGCAAGCAAAGAAGAGUCACAUAGCAAGCUUUAUAUUAUAUAGGGAAAUUACUCCUGCAGUAAUAUGGAGAAUGUAUUUGAGGAAGGCAAGUAGAUUGAUUACAACUCUUCAGUAAUAAUCCAGAUAAAGUUUUGAUAGCUAUGAAUGAAAAUCAGAGACCAUUGUAGAAAUGGUCUGAAACCAUUAGACCAUUAGACAACUAUGUAGAAGUUAGAUGUGCAUAAUUUUGCAACAAGGUAGAGAAGGAGUAAGAGAAAAAAACAACUCUGGUGUGAUAUCCCAUAUAUUAACUUGGGUAUAUGGGCAAAUGGUCAUCUCUCUACAUGAUCCAGUACAAAAGGUGAACCACGUAUUGAGGAGUGUAAUUUAGAUUCUUGCUUCUCAGAGAGCAUUCUGAUGACCAGAAGCCUUGGCAUCACCUGGUGGAUAUUUAGAAGUGUGUAGUUUCAGACUCCCCUAUGUUCUAUUAGAUUAACAUCUGUAUUUUAACACAAUCCCUAAGAAGCCUGAGUGCAUGUGCAUGAUUUUGAACAAAUUAAAUUUGAGAUGUUUAUAUCACAGUUGAGUAGACACAUCACAAGAUUGGUGUAGAAAUUAGAAGUAUAAAUAUGAAUGUCAAUGAAGAUCACAGAAGGGAAAUAUAAAUUUAAGAAAUUUCAGAAGAGAUAGCCAUGGAAUAAAAUAAUUUUUUCUUGAGGAAAACACAUAGAGAAAGGCAAUGGAUCCUGGGGACAUCAACAUGCAAACAGAAGUUAGAAGGGACAAUAAAGGAAGCUAGAAGAAACAGCAUCUAAAAGGCAACUGAAAUUAGAGUCAUGUCAUGCAAUUCAUGUGGUUGGAAGAAUAUUGAUAAGAUUAAUCUUUUUGCUAAAAGGCAGUCUGAAGAAAGGCCCACUGUAUUUGGCAAUAAGAGGGCUAUUGUGAUCACACUGCAAGCAUUUUCAGUGAAAUAACAAAAUCAGAAGACAAAACAGGUUGAAUGACUGGCAGGCGUGGAAGAGGAGAUAGAAAAUACAGAUCGACUUUUUGAAAACCCUGUUUGUGGCUUAAAAGUGAGCAGUAAGUGUGUGGUUAUGUGUACCAGGCAGGCUGUAAAAUGCUUCCCAAAGGUCCCCACCCUUGUAUUGUGUGUGUAGGCUGGCCUUAUUGACUGGCUUUUCCUGAAGACAAUUUGGCAGCAAAGAUGGGAUGUCAAUUUUGAGGAUAGAUCACAAAGAAACUGUGGCUUCGAUUUUCAGCAUUCUCUUGCUCAUUCACUUUCCAGCAAUCCACCUGCCAUUCUGUAAGCUGCCCUACUCAGAAGCCAAAAGGACGAAAAACAUCCAGCAAUGACCUGAGGUCUGCCAACAGUUCAUUGGUGGAGCUUAGAAGUAGAAUCUACCCCAGUGGAGAUUUGAGAUGAUUCGCUAAAUUGUGAUGAUUGAGAGACCAGAGAUAGAACCAUCCAGCUGAGCUGCACCUAGAUUCCUGCCCAUAGAAACUGAGGAGGCAUCACUUCUUAGCCUUUUGGCUAAGAUCAAAUGUAGAAAUUGUGAGUUACUCUGCGUGUGUGUGUGUGUGUGUGUGUGUGUGUUUUAAACCAGUAAGAUUAGGGUAUCUUUUAUUUAGUAAUAGAUAACUAAGAAAGAUUUUGGUGCCUAGAGUUGGAGUGUUUGCCUAACUUAAUUGCAGAAGUGUUGUUGGAACCAGGUAGUAGCCAUUGAGGAGAGUGAUUAUGAAAGCUUAAAGUGCAUCGAACACACUAUUCAUAGACUUUAUGGGUUUGAGGAGCUUGUGGAUGAGUGGAGAAAACAUUAAAACUGAAAGAAAGGCCAUUGUUGUUAUGUAGUUGAAGAACUGUAAUAAACAUUGUCAUCUGCGUUUAUGUGGAAAGAGGAAAGUGUAUUUAAUGAUCUGUGUGAUCUACUUACUAGCAAAAAAAAGAAGCUAGAACCUGAUGCUGUUUUUUUUUUAAAAAAAAUGCUAAAAUUAGGUGCUAAAUUAAGAAACAGCUUCAAAGUACCGAAUCCAGGGAACUGCCAGAAAAAUAUGGUAUGAGGCUAAAACUGAAGGUAUGAUUGUAAAAGCUCUUCUUAAUACUUCAGAAAGAUAAAAACUGGUGUGAUGGUUCAUUUUAUGGGUCAACUUGGAGGGUGUUUUUGGAUAAAAUUAACCUUUAAGUCAGUGAACUUUGAGUAUGUAGAUUGCCCUCCAUAAUAUGAGUGGACCUCAUCCAGUCAGUUGAAAGUCUAAGUAGAACAAAAACUAUCCUCCCAAAGCAAGAGGCAAUUCUCCAGUAGGCUGCCUUCAGACUUCAUCUGUACCAUCAGUUCUCUUGAAUCUCCAGCCUGCCAGCCCACAUGUAGUUUUUAGACUUCCCAUCCUCCAUAAUUACACGAGCAAAUUCCUUAUAAGAAGUCUCUUUCUAUAUUUAAACACAUCCUGCUGGUUCUGUUUCUUUGGAGAACCCCAACUAAUACAGGUGAUAUCAUAGAGUGCUCUUCAGUCAAAUAAAAGACCCUUGAAGGAGACUAAGGGUGUUUUACACAAAUCUUUUCAAUCCAACCAAAGGAUCUCUGAGAAUUGUGAGGGGUUCCUCUCAUCCUUCUCAAUAGGAGACAAAGGUAUAGAUAGGAGAUUUGUGGCAUGUCUUUUUUCUAGUGGAAUGAACCCCAAAAGGAUUUAUAAAAGACCCACAAAGUCUUUUAAACACUUACAUACGCAAAAACAUCACCAGAUUGAACUGAAAAAGAGGCAUUUGGAUCCCAAAACUUCUACAUUUAGAAAACAGGCUGUGAAAACUACUUAGCUGCUAAUGCAUGCUGACUUUUACAAUAAAGAGUAAAUGGCUUUGCGAGCAGAACCAAGGGCCCAGAAGGCAGAGUGAACUAGGAAGCCGACCCUUACUAAGUCCAGUUUUGGGAUAACUAAGCCCUUCUUGCAAUUGGGUUGCAAUAUCUCUAGAAACUGUGAGCAAGAGACACCCAGUCAAGCUACACUUCAUUUCUGACUCACAAAAACUGUCAGAUUAAACUGUUUUUUAAGUGGUUGAAUGUUGAAUAAUAGAGAAAUCACUGGUAGAGAGGGAGAAAUGGACAUUAAGCAGCCUGUUUGUAUAGAUGGGAGUUUAUAGGAGAUGCACAAGUAUUGGUGGUAAGAUUUAGAAGGUGAGUAGAUGAAGGUGAGUAGAUAGUAGUGGUAUCUGGUGAAAGAGGAAGAAAAAUGGAAGAUUAUGGAAUUAAGAAGACAAAAGAAGAAAACAUUUAAAGGUGAAGGUGGAGUCUACUCUCUUCGCAGUUUGAAUGGAGGGCUGUGGGUGAAACAUUAUGUAGAAUAAGGCAAAAACAAAAUACAAUGUGGGAAAAUGAGGGUGCUGAAUAUGAACAGCUAUUCAAACAAUUUUUGUUGGAAAAAAGGAGUGAAGAAAACAGGGUUGCAGCCAAAGAGGAACAUGAAACCAAAGGAUAUAUUUUUAUCUUAAUUUGAAGUGCUAGCGUAUUUAUAUGCUGAAGGAAAAUUGGAAUGGAUGGGGAGAAAUCACACAUGCAUGAGAGAAUAAUUGGAUGGCAUAAAUUGCGAUGACAAAAAUAGAAGGGACCCAGAGAUCAGGCAAAAUAAAUCCCUCUUAUAGGAGCAGGGCAUGGAUCUGUAUUAACAGGGCUGAAAACAGAGGCUAUGUAUUUCGAUAAAAAUUAGUGCAUAGAUUUGAUAUGAGGAUGGUGAGAAAUUUGCCAAAGGAUUUUCAUGGAAUACGUUUCCAUGAUCAUAGAGAGUUUUCUUAUGCCACACUGAUCUAGAUAAAGAUUAUCAUCUUAACAUUAUAGAAAUAUCCUUGUGUUAGGCCAUUGUUGUGUUGCUAUAAAUCUGUAAGACUGGGUAAUUUAUAGAAAAAGAGGAAAUUUAAAUGGCUCACCGUUCUGCAGGCUGUACAGAAAACAGUGCUUCUUGUGAGGGCCUAAGGAAGCUUACAAUCAUGGCAGAUGGUGAAGAGGGAGCAGGCGUCUCACAUGGUGGGAGUGGGAGCAAGAGAGAGAGGGAAAAGGGGAGUCGCACACUUUUAAACAACCAGCACUCUUGACAACUCACUCACUAUUGCAAGGAUAGCACCAAAGGGAUAGAACUAAGCCAUCCAUGAGAAAUUCACCCAAAUAAAUCAAUUGCCUUUAACCAGGCCUCAUUUCCCAUACCGGAGAUUAUAUUCCAACAUGAGAUUGUGGAGGAAACAUAUCCAAGCUAUAUCAAUCCUCUUCUAUUUUCUCCUAAAAUUUAUCUUUUACAUAUUAUUGCUAAGAUAUUUAAGGUAAAUAAUUAUAUCAUCUUCAAAAAUGACAUCACGCAAAUGAUGAAAACACUGAAAAAAUUAUACUUUUUUUUUCCUUUCUCCUUGAUUAAGACUUUGACUUUUUAUUGAAUUUAGCGGAGAUAUUUCUACUCUUUUCCUUAACUAAAUAUUUUCUCCAGGUUUCUAGUAGAUACCAGUCAUCAGAAAAGAGAAAUUUAUUUUGAUACUCUGCUUAUUAAGCCUGACCAAUAUGAUGAAACCCCGUCUCUACUAAACACACAAAAAUUAGCCGGGUGUGGUGGCAUGUGCCUGUUAUCUCAGCUACUCGGGAGGCUGAGACAAGAGAACUGCUUGAACUCAGGAGGCGGAGGUUGCAGUGAGCUGAGGUUGUGCCAUUGCACUCCAGCCAGGGCAACAAGAGUGAAACUCCGUCUCAAAAAAAAAAAAAAAUUAAUGUAACAAAUGAAUUUUAUACCUAAUAUAAUAUUUUGAGGUCAUCUGGAAAACAUAAAUAGUUAUAGUGCAUGUUGUAUAAUAACCAAAAUUCAGUAUUAUAUAUAAAUAAAAGCAUGUUCUGGUGUAAAAACAUUAUUACAAAAUAUUCCACACCUUUCCCUUUCUUGGAUUAAUUUUUUUAAUUUGUUACAAAACAGCUAUGAAUUCUUUCAGAGGGCACUGUAAAACUUCUAAAUUUUUGCCUGGAAGAAAAUGUAUUUUGCCUUUUGAUUUGGACACUUUAGUGACAAUUCACUUUAAAAAAGAGUGUUUCCAGGAAUUUGACUUAUCUCUUACCACUAGUGAUUAAGGCAAAAACACAAAUCUGAUCCUAAUCUAAUUAUCCAUACAUGUUAGACAACCUUAUUUUUCUUUUUAAGAUAUUCACAGAUUUUUGACUUGUGUUUUUGAAUUUUGUUUCUAAAAUUUUAUCAGUCUGAGAGAUAUUAUUAUAAAAUAUAAUAAUGUUUAAAACAUAAUAAUCUAAUAAAUAUCAUUCUUGUUACUUUUAUUGCAAUGGAUUUCUUUUCACCAUCUUCUCUUCCUCUUCUGAAUUUUUCUUUAGAUGAUUACAAGAAAUCUCAUCUAUUCUCUUUGUCAUAACCUUUUUCUGACCCUCCGCAUCUGUUUGGAAUUUGUACCCCUCUUUUAGAUAAUACCAUAGAGCAGACUUUUAACACACAAUGUGCUCAUUGGCUUUGCUCAUCAUCGUUUCCUCCUGUGAGGAGACUUUGAUAUUUUUAAUUUGCACAUAUUCAGAUUUUCUUUUUUUGCAAUGCAGCCUUAUUUACAUUUGCAUUUUUUCAUUAUAACAUUUGACACAUACAAAAUAAUAUAUUUUACACGGAAAUAAGCCAUGAAUCACAAUAAUAAAAUGAACAAAACAUAACCAAAACUGUGAAAUUUACCUGGAUCCUUUUCCAAAACUUUAUAUCCCUCUCUAUAUACUUUGAGUUUUAAGUUAUUUAUCCCUUUGAAUUUUUUAAACUGGAUUACAUUCUAUGUGUAUGAUUUUAAAUGUAUUGUCUAAGACUUUUAAAAAAUAGUGUCAAACGUAUGUAUUCUGCUAAAAUUAUUUUUCAUUCAGCUUUUUGUUUCCCAGAUUCAUGUAUGUCUUUGUAUUCACCUUCUUAUGAGACUCAAUAAAACUUCACCGUGUAAACACGUCAUAAUUUAUUUACUCCCUCUCCACUUAACAAGUAGCUUGUGUCUCUUUUUUAAAAACUAUUCAAAACUAUUUUAAAACUGUUUUUAAAACUAUUUAAAACUAUUUAUUAAAAAACUAUUCAAUCAAUGACAUGCAUGUCUCUUCAUGUAAAUUCACAGCAGUUUUGUAGAUAAUAUACCCAGGAGUGAAAUUUCCAGAAUCUACGUAUCUUCAGUUCCACAAGAUAAUGCUAAUAUUUUCCAAAAGUGUUACACUAGCUCACAUCCAGUGCUUGAAUUAUUGUAACUCCGUAAUCCUGUACAUUUUGAUACCAGGAAAAAAAUUAUUCUUUUUCAUUUACUUUUCAAAAAUGUCAUGACUAGUUUUUGCAUUCAUUCUUCCAUUUAAAUUUUAAUAUUCUGUGACAAUUUAUUGUGAUUUUGAAUAUAAUUCCAUUGAACUUUGAAAUUAAUAUUUCCAUGUAUUACAUGUGAUGUCUCAUCAUGUAUCCAAAUAGUCCUUUAUGACCAUCAAUGAUAGACUGGAUAAAGAAAAUAUGGCACAUAUAUACUGUGGAAUACUAUGCA